GACGAACCGUGCGAACGUUGUUCGGAAUCACUGGGCUUAAAGGGCGCGUAGGCGGGCUGGCAAGUCAGGGGUGAAAGCCCACGGCUCAACCGUGGAAGUGCCUUUGAUACUGCCGGCCUGGAGGGAGGUAGGGGCGUGCGGAACUUCCGGUGGAGCGGUGAAAUGCGUAGAUAUCAGGAGGAACACCGGUGGCGAAGGCGGAUCUCUGGGCCAUUACUGACGCUGAGGAGCGAAAGCGUGGGGAGCGAACAGG
rnacentral:rRNA from 1 species